rnacentral:rRNA from 1 species
UACGAAGGGGGCUAGCGUUGCUCGGAAUCACUGGGCGUAAAGCGCAUGUAGGCGGCUUUUUAAGUCAGAGGUGAAAUCCUGGAGCUCAACUCCAGAACUGCCUUUGAUACUGAAGAUCUUGAGUUCGGGAGAGGUGAGUGGAACUGCGAGUGUAGAGGUGAAAUUCGUAGAUAUUCGCAAGAACACCAGUGGCGAAGGCGGCUCACUGGCCCGAUACUGACGCUGAGGCACGAAAGCGUGGGGAGCAAACAGG